GAAUCCUGUCGUGAGGGCAUUUGCAUAGUAACUCUUUGAAUCUUUUCCAUGCCUCGUAUAGAGAUUCAUCAUCCAUUUGUUUUAAAGUGGUGAUCUCAUUUUGCAACUU
rfam:Gossypium arboreum cultivar AKA8401 contig_6900_1, whole genome shotgun sequence.